UCGUCACACUAUCAUUAACUGAAUCCAUAGGUUAAUGAGGCGAACCGGGGGAACUGAAACAUCUAAGUACCCCGAGGAAAAGAAAUCAACCGAGAUUCCCCCAGUAGCGGCGAGCGAACGGGGAGGAGCCCAGAGCCUGAAUCAGCAUGUGUGUUAGUGGAAGCGUCUGGAAAGGCGCGCGAUACAGGGUGACAGCCCCGUACACAAAAGCGCAUGUGCUGUGAGCUCGAUGAGUAGGGCGGGACACGUGGUAUCCUGUCUGAAUAUGGGGGGACCAUCCUCCAAGGCUAAAUACUCCUGACUGACCGAUAGUGAACCAGUACCGUGAGGGAAAGGCGAAAAGAACCCCGGCGAGGGGAGUGAAAAAGAACCUGAAACCGUGUACGUACAAGCAGUGGGAGCACAGGUUUACCUGUGUGACUGCGUACCUUUUGUAUAAUGGGUCAGCGACUUAUAUUCUGUAGCAAGGUUAACCGAAUAGGGGAGCCGGAGGGAAACCGAGUCUUAAUUGGGCGUUAAGUUGCAGGGUAUAGACCCGAAACCCGGUGAUCUAGCCAUGGGCAGGUUGAAGGUUGGGUAACACUAACUGGAGGACCGAACCGACUAAUGUUGAAAAAUUAGCGGAUGACCUGUGGCUGGGGGUGAAAGGCCAAUCAAACCGGGAGAUAGCUGGUUCUCCCCGAAAGCUAUUUAGGUAGCGCCUCGUGAAUUCAUCUCCGGGGGUAGAGCACUGUUUCGGCUAGGGGGCCAUCCCGGCUUACCAACCCGAUGCAAACUGCGAAUACCGGAGAAUGUUAUCACGGGAGACACACGGCGGGUGCUAACGUCCGUCGUGAAGAGGGAAACAACCCAGACCGCCAGCUAAGGUCCCAAAGUCAUGGUUAAGUGGGAAACGAUGUGGGAAGGCCCAGACAGCCAGGAUGUUGGCUUAGAAGCAGCCAUCAUUUAAAGAAAGCGUAAUAGCUCACUGGUCGAGUCGGCCUGCGCGGAAGAUGUAACGGGGCUAAACCAUGCACCGAAGCUG
rnacentral:rRNA from 1 species